GGCAAAUGGACUAAUGGGUACUGUCACUACACGUGUUGCCUUAAUAAUGACCACUGAUGACCGAUGGUCAAGUGGUCAGUGUGUAGCUGAAUCAGUACACAUUUGUGAGGCAAUCUGGUAGCUCCGUACAAACAUGAGGGUUUUAGCCGUUCUCUAUACGAUCUUACUGUUGAUAUCUACAGCGAUGGCCCAUGGAAGUCGACGACCUCAGCGCUGUUUUGAACCACCAUUCAAAGGUCCAUGUCGUCAAAGACAGGUGCGCUGGUACUUCGACCCGACAACCAAGGCCUGUCGCACGUUCCUGUAUGGGGGCUGUCGGGAAAACAAAAACAACUAUGAAUCGGUUUACACGUGUAGACGAGUGUGUAAAGUGGACGCUUGACCAUUGUUCGCUUACCGAAAGAAGAAAAAAAAAAAUUUAUACCAUAUUGUGGUAAUUCAUUAUUUUUCGAUAAUAAUAUCUACUGGAUGAAAUGUCUGUAAAUCCAUUUCUACCAUUUUUAACAUUAUGAUUAUUAAUAUUUUUUAAUACUGUAUAAUAUUUUCUCGGUAGAUCGUCGUUAUUGUACACUACCAUCGAUUAUUGAAUAAAACAUUUCAGCAUUUUUCUGAAAUAAAAACUGUAUGGUGAUAAUGAA